AUUGAACGCUGGCGGCAGGCCUAACACAUGCAAGUCGAACGGCAGCACAGAAGAGCUUGCUCUUUGGGUGGCGAGUGGCGGACGGGUGAGUAAUGUCUGGGAAACUGCCCGAUGGAGGGGGAUAACUACUGGAAACGGUAGCUAAUACCGCAUAACGUCGCAAGACCAAAGUGGGGGACCUUCGGGCCUCACACCAUCGGAUGUGCCCAGAUGGGAUUAGCUAGUAGGUGGGGUAAUGGCUCACCUAGGCGACGAUCCCUAGCUGGUCUGAGGGGAUGACCAGCCACACUGGAACUGAGACACGGUCCAGACUCCUACGGGAGGCAGCAGUGGGGAAUAUUGGACAAGGGGCGCAAGCCUGAUCCAGCCAUACCGCGUGGGUGAAGAAGGCCUUCGGGUUGUAAACUGCUUUUGUACGGAACGAAAAGCCCCGGGUUAAUACCCUGGGGUCAUGACGGUACCGUAAGAAUAAGCACCGGCUAACUACGUGCCAGCCGCCGCCGUAA
rnacentral:rRNA from 1 species